AGAGCUGAUUGUUUGCUGAGCGGCUGCGAUUUGGGGCAUUGAAGAGAGGGACUGGUGUGAGCAGUGACCGGGAUGGAUGGUCGGGCAGAUGCCAACACUGGGGUGAGCAGCGACAGCGACAGGAGAGCAGGAGCCCAUGCUGCUGAGGGAACACGGCAGCGACGAGCCGGGUCGGUGCCACUCGGGGCUGGUGGCAGGAGCAGCUGAGCCCCGGGGACAAGGAGAGUGUGGGCACCCCAAGUGGACUAGAGGAGGGGAGUCCCCGGUUGGUGCGUGAGCAGGACCCGGAGCAGCCUGAGCUGAGCUGAGCCGAGCUGAACUGAGCUGAGCCGAGCCGAGCUGAGCUGAACUGA